rnacentral:rRNA from 1 species
CCCUUAAAUGUUCUGGGCCGCACGCGCGCUACACUGAUGCAUUCAACAAGCCUAGCCUUGACCGAGAGGUCCGGGUAAUCUUUGAAACUGCAUCGUGAUGGGGCUAGAUUAUUGCAAUUAUUAAUCUUCAACGAGGAAUGCCUAGUAAGCGUGAUUCAUCAAAUCGCGUUGAUUACGUCCCUGCCCUUUGUACACACCGCCCGUCGCUCCUACCGAUUGAAUGUGUUGGUGAGGAGCUCGGAUUGGCAGCAGUUGGUGGUUCGCCACCGGCUAUUGCUGAGAAGUCCUCCAAACCGCCCCAUUUAGAGGAAGGAGAANUCGUAACA